rnacentral:rRNA from 1 species
CAUCGCCUCCUGCCCACUCAGCAUAGGAGGUCCCGCCUGCCCUGUGACCAAAAGUUUAACGGCCGCGGUAUUUUAACCGUGCAAAGGUAGCGCAAUCAAUUGUCUUUUAAAUGAAGACCUGUAUGAAUGGCAUAACGAGGGUUUAACUGUCUCUUUUUUCAGGUCAAUGAAACUGAUCUGUCCGUGCAGAAGCGGACAUAUUAACACAAGACGAGAAGACCCUAUGGAGCUUUAGACGCCCACCAACCGCGAAAAGCAGCCUACCUAAACAGAUGCUCUAAACAACGCGGUCCUGGUACAAACGUCUUCGGUUGGGGCGACCGCGGAGGAGAACAAAGCCUCCGAGAGGAAUGGGAACAAACCCUAAAACCAAGAGCCACAGCUCUAAGUCACAAAAAAUUUGACCGACAAUGAUCCGGCUUACUGCCGAUCAACGGACCAAGUUACCCUAGGGAUAACAGCGCAAUCCCCUCCCAGAGUCCAUAUCGACGAGGGGGUUUACGACCUCGAUGUUGGAUCAGGACAUCCUAAUGGUGCAGCCGCUAUUAAGGGUUCGUUUGUUCAACGAUUAAAGUCCUACGUG